rnacentral:lncRNA from 1 species
CCAGCCCACCGACAUACCAUAACCUUUAAUAAUUUACAGUUAAUCUCCACAGCCUUACGUAGCUCUAAACACCAACGAAAUGGUGUCAUCACAAUUCGUUCUACAUGCACAUGUCUCAGUAAGCCAUUCAUUUCAACAAUGACUGAUGAAUCCAUAGAGAUUCGAACCCGCCAGUACAAAACAUUAAAAAAAAAUUAUUACUUACCAAAAAAAAAACCAACUAUAUAUAAUACCAAAACUUUGACUUACCUUUGGAUUUCUGGACGCCAUUGCAACUGCACAUUUUUCAUUCAAAUAAAACAAUGGUGGAUUAGGGUUCACAAAACAAAAAAAAGAAUAAAUAAAAUAAAAAUAAAGCACGGCUCGAGAAGCCACACAAUGCGAUAUAGAGU